rnacentral:rRNA from 1 species
CUACGGGGGGCUGCAGUGGGGAAUAUUGCACAAUGGGGGAAACCCUGAUGCAGCGACGCCGCGUGAGUGAAGAAGUAUUUCGGUAUGUAAAGCUCUAUCAGCAGGGAAGAAAAUGACGGUACCUGAGUAAGAAGCACCGGCUAAAUACGUGCCAGCAGCCGCGGUAAUACGUAUGGUGCAAGCGUUAUCCGGAUUUACUGGGUGUAAAGGGAGCGUAGGUAGCAUGGCAAGCCAGAAGUGAAAACCCGGGGCUCAACCGCGGGAUUGCUUUUGGAACUGUCGUGCUGGAGUGCAGGAGGGGUAAGCGGAAUUCCUAGUGUAGCGGUGAAAUGCGUAGAUAUUAGGAGGAACACCGGUGGCGAAGGCGGCUUACUGGACUGUAACUGACACUGAGGCUCGAAAGCGUGGGGAGCAAACAGGAUUAGAUACCCUUGUAGUC